CUUCUUUAAACCAUCCCUUCUAUCGGUUAGUUGGUUCUCUUGAUCGAUCUGCUUCAUCGUUAAAUUCUGUUCAACUCUGUUUUUACCUAGGAAAUGAACGAUCCUAAAUUUGCUUACCCAUAUCCCGCCCAAGGUUAUUACCAAGGGCCCCCUUUAAUGGCUCCUCCCC